CUGUUACUCCCUCCGUUCGAAAUUAUUUGUUCAAAAAAUAAAUGUAUCUAAAUGUAUUUUAGUUGUAGAUAUAUCUAUUUUUAUGACAAGUAAUUUCGAACGGAGGGAGAACUAC
rnacentral:pre_miRNA from 1 species